ensembl:lncRNA
AAGCAGACUUGUGCCACAUAAAACUUAAAAAAAUAAAAUAAAAUGCAUGUUUUUGUUGUUAUGUUCACAAAAGGAUCCCUUCAGGGCCUGUGAGGGUUACGGAAGAAUACCCAAAACAGAGAUUACAGCAACAGGAUGUUUAUUGACAACAACUUAGGAACAGUGAGCAAUAAGGGCCAGGAGAUCGUGGAAAGGCAGAGGGAGGAAUGAAGCUCACACGCACGCCGACGCUUGCUUGUAGGUGAUGGAGGCACAGAAACGAUGGAGGACAAGGAUGAGGAGAACAUGCUGGAGAAUCACAGGAGAUGGCAUGCUCACAUAAAGGCAAUCAUUACAGUCAUAGCAGAAGCAUGUUUCAUAGCUCCUGCCACCUCUGCCCCCUACAAUGCACAAUCAAAGGCCAUUGUUGUAGCUCCUAUAGCAUGACCCAAUGGUGUGUGCAUGAGUUCACUGUGGGUGAGCCUGUCAUGAGAGACACGCUGGCUGAACUGUGGAUCAGCUGUGAGCAGCUUAACCUGUGUCAUGCUGUAGCUGACUGGAAAUCAGUGAUGAUCAGGGACAGCGCAGGAGAUUUGGAAGGCUUAAAUUUAACUGAGCAGACAGUCCCCUGAUAGAGUGAACAAAGUUCUCUGCCUUGGCUUGAAGACAGAGACCUUCAUCCUGAGAUAAGGCCAUCAACGCAAACAGUCCCAGAGGCAGCGCUGACUUGUCCCAUCACUGUGCUGCUUGAAACAUCCCGACUUCAUGGUGGAGAAACUACAGGGGGCAGCCAAGCAUCUGGUUAAGAGUUAGAAGAACUGGCAUCGGUGACAGCUUAUCGGGCUGUGACAUCUGAACCAUGCUCAGCGCAAAAUUGUCGAAUGCCAGGGAUGACAUUAUCUGGGUUUCUGCAUGCUUUCCCUUUGCCUGGAGCAUCUGAUGACAUUGUCAGCACAGGUGACCAAUCAGCAGCAUGGGGACCAAGGAAGAAGAAGAUAUCAGACAGCAUUAUCAGCAUUAGGAUGGCUUAAUUCUUUAACUAAGCAGCAACAUAAAUGUCAGAGCAAAAUAAAUAAACAUUAGGUAAAUCUGUUUCAUUUUUAGAUAUUAAAAAAACAUUAUUCAUAAAACAGAAUUGCCUCUGAGCUUCACUGAAUUCUCAAAUACACAGAUUAUGAAAGUUUUAUUACAUUCAGAAUGAAAACCAUGCUUUUGGAUUAAUGUAAUACAAACGAAAAUUUCUUUAAGUCACUCAGUUUUUUUCUUAUAUGACGAUUCAUCAGUAUAAUAGAACUGCAGAGAGAGUAUGUAAUUUAAAUUUAAAUUCAGAUCAAAACUAUCACAAUUAGUUUGACCAUAACUCAACCGUUUUAUUCCUGCCACUUUGUCGCUUUAUUCCAAAAAAGCACUGAAAACUAGACACAGUCUGACACUUCAGAUUUUCAUUUAGAUAAUAGCAUCCCAUCUGGUUGCCGCCACGCCUUCUGUUACUUUCAGUCCUCCCAUCCAACCUCCUUAUCAAUUACAAAGCCACUUUUAAGUCCAAGUUAAUAGGAUGUUAAUGCAUUAUUGGGUCUGUGGCGAUGUGCUAUUGAAGGAAGGGGUGGACAUUAUUGCCCUUGAGCACAAUCUGGGACCAAGACAAGAUCACAUCUUAAUAUAAGCAGAUGAGAGGAGAUUGUUUAAAAGUAGUAGUAUGCACUUUUAUUGUGUGGGGCUGUAUUAUUGUUAUUGAUAAAUUAAGACAUUACCCAUAUAAAAUAUAUUUUGUUUAUUUGAGUGUGGAAAGCAAAACAUAUUACAUCAUAUAUUUAUGUAAUAUGUCAUCUGUUGUUUGCAGUGAUGUCACUACCUUGUUCAUGUUGUAUGAGGCAAAUACCAUGUCCUUAUCUAGGGGGCAAAAUCUCUUCAUCUGCAUGCUGUAAAUUGAAGUAGAUGGAAGACAGGAUUACUUCUUGUGAUAACACAACUCAGUACAAGUGAUAAUUGUAACUUUAAUGCAUAGACAAGUAAUGCUGAGUUCAUUUUCUUUUGUACAGCUUGUACAAGUUAAGUAUUUGUUGGGUAGAUUUUUUAAGUUUUGUAAAUUAGCAAAAUAUGAACAAAACAGCAGUGUUCAUAUAACAUGUCAAC